AUGUUGAAGAAUGACAUCAUGCAUGCUAUUUGGUUGAGCUAUCAACAGCUUAAUCCAGACAUCAAGCGAUGCGUCAAAUACUGUAAUGUUUUUCCCAAAAGAUCCAAGUUAAAUAAGGAUGAGUUAGUUCACCUGUGGAUAGCGCAAGGGUUUAUAAAGACUAAUUGUGCAACAGAGGACAUGGAAGAUGUAGCUGAGGGCUAUGUUCAAGAGUUAGUGUCAUGCUCAUUUGUACAACCAGAAGAAGAUGAUUACUCUAUCAAAUACAUUACAAUCCUUGAUCUGCUGCAUGAUUUAUUAGACGAGAUCGUUGAAAGGGAUUACUUCAGAAUCGAGAAUGCAAGGAAUCAGAGAGGAAUAGUCUGGAAAGGAGAUGUUCCCCGAGAUGUCUGCCACCUUUUUGUUCAAAAUUAUGAUGGAGAAUUGAUUACGAAGAAGAUCCUUGCAUUGGAAAAUUUACGCACUCUAAUUAUUUAUGUGGUUGAAAAGGAUACACCAGUGGAGGAAAAAGUCAUUGAGAGUGUAUGCAAUAGCCUGCCGAAAUUGCGGGUACUGGCUGUUGCUUUUAGCCGGGAGCAUCAUCCAAUCACACGACCCAAUAAGUUCUCGAUCCCAGAAUCCAUUAGCCAGUUAAAGCACCUAUGCUAUCUUGCUUUCAGGACAUUCAAAUGCACUGUAAUUUUACCAAGUGCGCUAGCUGAACUUCACCAUAUUCAGCUGCUAGAUUUUGGUCAUCAUAGCCAAACUUCUGAAUUUACUACUGAUAACCUUACCAACCUGCGGUACAUAAUGUGCCAGAGUGUGAAAUGUCCUAACAUAGGAAGGUUGAUCUCACUCCAAGCGUUACCAUGCAACACAUUCACAGUAAGGAAUGUACAGGGUUAUGAGAUAAAGCAACUGAGAGACCUAAACAAGCUUCGUGGCAAUCUGGUGAUCAAUUGCCUUGAAAAUGUCACAAGCAAGGAGGAAGCUCUUGAAAGCAAUCUUGCUGCCAAGAAACGGGUCAAGGAACUGAGCAUAAGAUGGACCGAUGGUUCUGCAAGGUGGUGCAGUCCAGAAGUUGAAGCAAAGGUACUUGAGGGCAUGUGCCCUCCUGCGGAUCUUGAAACACUGAUGAUCGAGGGCUACAAAGGUUCGAGGUACCCAGAUUGGAUGGUGGAUCAGCAGAACAGUGGCCCAAAGGACCUGCAAAAUCUUGAGUUAAAAACUUGGAGUCAACCGGGACCUGGUCCUGAACUUGAGGCUUUCCCUCAUCUGCGUAUGCUCAGGCUUGUGGACUGCAGCUGGGUCACCUUACCAGGCAAUAUGGAACACCUCACAUCGCUCAAGCAUUUGGAUAUCUCUUUAUGUUGGAAUAUUCGUUUGCUUCCUACAUUGCCUAGGUCUCUUGAAUAUUUUUAUCUUAGUUACUGCAAUGAUGAUUUCAUAAAGUCUUGUGGAACAGACGGGCAUCCAAAUUGUCGAAAGUUGGAGCACGUUCAUCAAAAGGAAAUUAUACGCAUGGCAUGUAAGACUGUAGUCCCAAUCGCCAUUGUUCCUCUAUUUUUUAUCUGUAAACAUUACCUCCGUAAUAUUUUUGAUCUGCUGCUCCUCUGCUUAAUUACGUCUCUUCAUCCAUUUGCUACUCAUUGA
rnacentral:rRNA from 1 species